rnacentral:rRNA from 1 species
AUUGAACGCUGGCGGCAGGCCUAACACAUGCAAGUCGAGCGAGCGGCGGACGGGUGCGUAAUGUCUGGGAAACUGCCUGAUGGAGGGGGAUAAAUACUAGAAACGGUAGCUAAUACCGCAUACCAUCAGAUGGGCCCAGAUGGGAUUAGCUAGUAGGGGGGGUAACGACUCACCGAGGCGACGAUCCCUAGCUGGUCUGAGAGGCUGACCAGCCACACUGGAACUGAGACACGGGCCAGACUCCUACGGGAGGCAGCAGUGGGGAAUAUUGCACAAUGGGCGCAAUACUGAUGCAGCCAUGCCGCGUGUGUGAAGAAGGCCUGCGGGUUGUAAAGCACUUUCAGCGGGGAGGCGUUACCCGCAGAAGAAGCACCGGCUAACUCCGUGCCAGCAGCCGCGGUAAUAC